rnacentral:lncRNA from 1 species
CCUCAUCAUUUUCAACCUUUGUUCCUUCGAGGCAUUUGGUCCAUUUCACUUCCUCGUUUGCGGAUGUUUAAUUAUUACCAUGGAUGACCAUUAUAUCAUGCUCGAAAUCUCACAAUCAAAAGCGUUCUAAAUGACUCAAAACCGGAGACCGUUGGCUCGAUGUAACAUGCUUUCCAUACCAUAACUAGGUUGCUAGAUGUAUAACGUUUGUAGUGUAUGCUUGGGCAUCUAAACUACCUCCAAAAUAAAAACAAAUUACCACGGUUAGCAUAAUCCAAUGAACUACUGCUACCCUGCUC